rnacentral:rRNA from 1 species
CAAGUCUCAGUAUGAACUGUAUUAAAGUGAAACCGCAAAAGGCUCAGUAAACCAGUCAUGAUUCACUCGAUGGAUAACUGUGGUAAUCCUAGAGCUAAUACAUGCAAAGUCCCGACCAGUCUUGGGAAGGACGCUUUUAUUAGAUCAAGACCAAUCGCUUGGUGACUCUAGGUAACACAUCAGAUCGCACGGUCCUCGCACCGGCGACUUAUCCUUCAAAUGCCUGACUUAUCAACUGUCGAUGGUAGACUCUAUGUCUACCAUGGUUGUAACGGGUAACGGGGAAUCAGGGUUCGAUUCCGGAGAGGGAGCCUGAGAAACGGCUACCACAUCCAAGGAAGGCAGCAGGCACGCAAAUUACCCACUCCCGGCACGGGGAGGUAGUGACAAAAAAUAACGAUACGGGACUCUAUGAGGCCCCGUAAUCGGAAUGAGUACACUUUAAAUCCUUUAACAAGGAUCCAUUGAAGGGCAAGUCUGGUG